rnacentral:rRNA from 1 species
AGGCUUUGAUCCUGGCUCAGGAUGAACGCUGGCGGCGUGCUUAACACAUGCAAGUCGAACGGGGUCUUCGGACUUAGUGGCGGACGGGUGAGUAACACGUGAGUAAUCUACCCUUAGGUUGGGGACAACAGUUGGAAACGGCUGCUAAUACCCAAUGUGCCGGAAGGUGAAAGGUUUACUGCCUGAGGAUGAGCUCGCGUCUGAUUAGCUAGUUGGCGGGGUAAGGGCCUACCAAGGCGACGAUCAGUAGCUGGUCUGAGAGGAUGAUCAGCCACACUGGGACUGAGACACGGCCCAGACUCCUACGGGAGGCAGCAGUGGGGAAUUUUCCGCAAUGGGGGCAACCCUGACGGAGCAAGACCGCGUGAGGGAAGAAGGUCUGUGGAUUGUAAACCUCUUUUCUCAGGGAAGAAGGUCUGACGGUACCUGAGGAAUCAGCAUCGGCUA